GGUAACUCCCCCUCUAAGUGCCCCAGUAAGCACUGCGUGCCUCAAGACAAUUCAACACAGCAGAAAUUGAACUCAUAAACCACUCAUCCAUUACUCUGACUCCGAUCAUUCCAAAACAUUACAUCAUUGCACAGAGAGGGAACAUCGCUACUAUGGCCAGAGCGGCUGCCAAGGCGUCUGCACAGGACUGUACACUGACUUCUUUGUGAUGUCCACAAUGAGUAUCCAAGGCGACCCCUAGAGAGGACGGCCCAUAAGGGAACGUUUCUUGUCUUCCAUGAUACAAAUGAUUGGGGCCCUUGUUUUUCGACCCAGGAACUUCCCUACAGGCCGUAUAGCAUCCAGAAGCCAUGUUUGAGGUCUGCUCGGCUUGUUUAUGUACGGUUACACCCAGAGCUGAAUUUAACCCCGGCUUCCAUCUGUUGCAGCACCCAGGGCCCUGCACGGAGAUGAGACCGGUUUGGGUCGGUCUGUGCCGCUCGCUU